GAUCUCCACCCUGAACCUGGCCUUAUGGUUACCUACUCGUACAUAUUUCACGUGGGUUAUGGACAGAAAAGAGUCUGCAGAGAGAUGAUAAAAUGAUAAUGGUCAGCGUGCUUGGUUUCAGCCCAUCAAUAGCCUAUGAUGAGUAUCUCAAGGUGUCACACAAUGGGAAAGCUUUAAAGGAGGAUUUGAAGGGAAUCAUGAAGUACACACAAAGGUCCUUUAGAAAGGGAAAUGAAGCUCCUGUUUCAAGAGCAAACACCAGAAGAAGAGGAAGCAUGAUGGUGCUUGCUCAAACACCUUAAGGAGUGGAAGCUCCUGAAUAACCGUUACAAGUGGAGACAGAAGGCCGCACCAUUAAGGAUCAUCAGCACCUUAAUGGAAACGAAAUUAGGGAGACGCAAGCCACAGAUGAAGACAAACAGCUUAUGCUUCCUGAGAUAGAGAAGGAUUAUCCAUAAUAUUCCUUUGAGAGAGGCACCAGCAGGCCUCUUUGUGACUGCAGUGGCUUGCACCUUGCCUGAACCAAGAGAGCGCAACAAGUGACAGUGAAAGAGAACGGGUUGCUGGAGAGUCUUAAGAUAUGUCUUGACUAAGAUAAAGGUUAGAUUUAGGUCAGGCUUUUCAAAAGCAUGCUAAAGCCCUCAGUAUCUAUUCAUGUUUUUCCACGAUGAGGGAAGUGUCCCUCUGAGGACACUUCUGCCUCUGACCUCUUGAGAAUGACACUAGACCUUCAGAAAUCCUUAGGGCAAUAGCACAGCCAGAACGACCCACAGGAUACAGGCUGCUAUGCAAAUACUACUGCAGAAGUGGAUAUUGAGAAGCCGCAAAGGAGAGUCUGAUUUGGAAGAAGAUUGCUUCGGUCUCCUCUUUGGAAGUACCUCUUUGGAAGCAGCACAGACAUGCCCGACAUCACAUUAUCUCAGAGUACCUGCCUGCAACCUGCCAGCACAUCAUGUGUACGAAAAUAUUUGCCAUCUGACAUAUUUCCAGAAAUACCUCUCCUUGUGGAAAUUCUCCUUGAGGAAAAUAUUCCCCUUGUAUAUGCUCAUAUAAUUUCCACGACGCAAAGUAUCAGGAGCCACGGUAAGACCAGAACACGUUCAUCCAGUGCUGUAAGGCCAGACUACAUUCCAGGAGCAGCUGCCCAGCGGGUACUUCCACGCCCUGCGUAUGGUGCCGAAAUGGAAAGCUGAAGCCCUAUCUCAAAUUUCUACAUGUGAAAAAUCUAGCAGAAUCUUCUUUGGAAAUAUUUUGUAGCUCAUUUUGUGGAUUAUCUACGUUAAGCGAAGAAUAUUAUAGUUCUGUGAAUUCACUCAAGUCCAGGGUACAAAUCUGAUGGUAGAAACUUGCUUUACUCUAUUUUCUUGUCGAUAUGCAGGAAGAAUUUUGAUAGAAAGUCAAUAUAUUCUUGAUGUUAGUGCAGCUUUGCUUUUAUUUUUACUCUAACUCUAUUUUUUUAGGUAUCAGUCUUUCAAAGCUCACUUCCAAGUGAAUAUCUUCCAGUUGAUACAUGAUGUUAAACUUAUUUUUGGAACAUGUGAAAAUACCAAAAGGGCUUCUAAUCUUCUAAUGAGAUAAAAUUACUUCUCAAGGAUAAAAUUAGGAUACUGGAAGUAUUCCAACAACAAUUAUAUUUUUACAGCCCCACCAUGUAUGUUGUGCAGUGUGUUUCUACAAAAUCAGUAUUCUGAAAUACAUACUUUUUGUGCCUUUUGCAAACUAUGGUUAUUUUGAGGUAAUUUUUUUGUGAUUAAUUUUAAUUUUAAAAAAUGGUCUCUACAUUUUUACUAAGAACUAUCAAAAAUGUAUAAUCUUAGUAUUACAAGAAUUAAACUAUUAAUAAAAGUAGUAAAAUAGAAUUUAAGAACC
rnacentral:lncRNA from 1 species